rnacentral:rRNA from 1 species
CCUACGGGAGGCAGCAGUGGGGAAUUUUCCGCAAUGGGCGAAAGCCUGACGGAGCAAUACCGCGUGAGGGAAGACUGCCUAUGGGUUGUAAACCUCUUUUUUCAGGGAGGAAUAAAUGACGUGUACCUGAAGAAUAAGCAUCGGCUAACUCCGUGCCAGCAGCCGCGGUAAU